AUUGAACGCUGGCGGCAUGCUUUACACAUGCAAGUCGAACGGCAGCGCGGGGGCAACCCUGGCGGCGAGUGGCGAACGGGUGAGUAAUGUAUCGGAACGUAUCCUGUAAUGGGGGAUAACCAGUCGAAAGAUUGGGUAAUACCGCAUACGCACGAGAGUGGAAAGUAGGGGAUCGCAAGACCUUACGUUAUAGGAGCGGCCGAUAUCUGAUUAGCUAGUUGGUGGGGUAAAGGCCUACCAAGGCGACGAUCAGUAGCUGGUCUGAGAGGAUGAUCAGCCACACUGGGACUGAGACACGGCCCAGACUCCUACGGGAGGCAGCAGUGGGGAAUUUUGGACAAUGGGCGAAAGCCUGAUCCAGCCAUGCCGCGUGCGGGAAGAAGGCCUUCGGGUUGUAAACCGCUUUAGUCUAGGAAAAAGGGGUGCGAGGUUAAUACCCUCGUGCUUUGAUGGUACUGGAAGAAUAAGCACCGGCUAACUACGUG
rnacentral:rRNA from 1 species